rnacentral:misc_RNA from 1 species
GGAAGGAUCAUUAAUGAUUAACUGUCUGUCGAGCUUGCUCACAGACUUAUCAUAUCCAUAACACCUGUGCACUUGUCGGAUGGCUUAGUGAAGACCGCAAGGUUGGAACUAUCCAUCUACUUUACAUAACAAUUUAGUAACAAAUGUAGUCUUAUUAUAACAUAAUAAAACUUUCAACAACGGAUCUCUUGGCUCUCGCAUCGAUGAAGAACGCAGCGAAAUGCGAUAAGUAAUGUGAAUUGCAGAAUUCAGUGAAUCAUCGAAUCUUUGAACGCACCUUGCGCUCCCUGGUAUUCCGGGGAGCAUGCCUGUUUGAGUGUCAUGAAAACCCUCAACCUUAGAUUGGUUAACACCUUUCUUUGGCUUGGAUUUGGACGUUUGCCGAUGAUAAGUCGGCUCGUCUUAAAAGUAAUAGCUGGAUCUGUCUCGCGACAUGGUUUGACUUGGCGUAAUAAGUAUUUCGCUAAGGACAUCUUCGGAUGGCCGCGUUGCAAGACUAAAGACCGCUUUCUAAUCCAUUGAUCUUCGGAUUAAUAUUCUUGACAUCUGGCCUCAAAUCAGGUAGGACUACCCGCUGAACUUAAGCAUAUCAAUAAGCGGAGGAAAAGAAACUAACAAGGAUUCCCCUAGUAACGGCGAGUGAAGCGGGAAGAGCUCAAAUUUGAAAUCUGGUAGCCUUCGGUUGCCCGAGUUGUAAUCUAGAGAAAUGUUUUCCGUGCCGGCCCAUGUACAAGUCCCUUGGAACAGGGCGUCAUAGAGGGUGAGAAUCCCGUCCUUGACAUGGACCCCCGGUGCUUUGUGAUACAUUUUCAACGAGUCGAGUUGUUUGGGAAUGCAGCUCAAAAUGGGUGGUGAAUUCCAUCUAAAGCUAAAUAUUGGCGAGAGACCGAUAGCGAACAAGUACCGUGAGGGAAAGAUGAAAAGCACUUUGGAAAGAGAGUUAAACAGUACGUGAAAUUGUUGAAAGGGAAACGAUUGAAGUCAGUCAUGCUCUUUGGUAUUUAUAUCAUUGAGUGGGGUCAACAUCAGUUUUGAUCGAUGGAUAAAGGCACUAGGAAUGUAGCACUCUCGGGUGAACUUAUAGCCUAGCGUCAUAUACAUUGAUUGGGACUGAGGAACGCAGCAUGCCUUUAUGGCCGGGAUUCGUCCACGUACAUGCUUAGGAUGUUGACAUAAUGGCUUUAAACGACCCGUCUUGAAACACGGACCAAGGAGUCUAACAUAUCUGCGAGUAUUUGGGUGUCAAACCCGAGUGCGCAAUGAAAGUGAACGUAGGAGCGAUGCGCAAGCUGCAGCUUCGACCGAUCUGGAUCUUUAGUGAUGGAUUUGAGUAAGAGCAUAUAUGUUGGGACCCGAAAGAUGGUGAACUAUGCCUGAAUAGGGCGAAGCCAGAGGAAACUCUGGUGGAGGCUCGUAGCGAUUCUGACGUGCAAAUCGAUCGUCAAAUUUGGGUAUAGGGGCGAAAGACUAAUCGAACCAUCUAGUAGCUGGUUCCUGC